GUAGAUCAGAAGUGCUUCCGCUAGUGAGUUCGCGCUGAUGGCGGCGGAUGGGAUUGGAUAAUGGGUCCGUAAUCGUUUGUUUACGUUUUUUUCUUCUACUACACCCGGGUUCCGUGUGUGGAGAUGGAGGGUUUGCUGGCUUCGGCCAGUCGGUCCGAAGAUGAGGACUCGUCCGCUGGUCACAAGAGAAGCCUGGCCCAGGGGUCUGGCCUCAUCCCCAAGAGGAGGAGCUCAUCCAGGUUUAUUAAGCGGAAGAAGUUUGACGAUGAGCUGGUUGAGAGCAGUCUUGCCAAAUCAACGAGUCGUGCGCGUGGUCCUAGCGGAGGCGAACCGGGACGUGGUUCUGGCAGCGAACCGUCAUCCAGUGAGAAGAAGAAGAUCCAUGCCGAAGAGGUAUGGGUGCAGAGUGCACUGACCCCGGGCCUGCUUCAUCUAUCUCAGGACAUGGUAAAGGGCAGUGCUGUGAGGACAGGUGCUGGUCACGUUGGUAAGGCCAUCACCACUCCAGCCCCAACAUCUCUGGCUCCCAGUCCCGGCAUCACUAAACGCAUCAAAAAAAGUAAACAACCCAUGCAGGUGACAAAGGAUCUCGGCAGAUGGAAACCCACUGAUGACCUUCUCCUUAUCAACACAGUUCUGCAGACAAAUGACCUGCAGGCUGUGCAUCUUGGAGCCAAGUUUAGUUGUCGCUUCACUCUAAGUGAAAUCCAAGAACGCUGGUAUGCUUUGCUGUAUGAUCCUGUCAUCUCAAAGUUGGCGUGCCAAGCAAUCCGACAGCUGCACCCAGAAGCCAUUGCGGCCAUCCAGAGCAAAGUGUUGUUUAGUAAAGCUGAGGAGCACUUAUUAAGCACAGUUGGUUCGAACUCUCAGCCAACACUGGAGACGUUUCAGGAUUUGCUGAGCAAACAUCCAGACGUGUUCUAUGUGUCGCGCACAGCCAAAUAUCUUCAGGUCCACUGGCAGCUAAUGAAACAGUACUAUCUACUGGAGGACCAGACAGUUCAGCCGCUGCCCAAAGGGGAUCAGGUUCUAAAUUUCUCUGAUGCAGAAGACAUGCUCGAUGAUAGCAAGCUAAGAGAUACUAAAGAUGAAGUUCUCGAACAUGAAAUGACAGUCGCUGAUCGCCGCCAGAAACGUGAAAUCCGUCAGCUGGAACAGGAGCUGCACCGGUGGCAGGUGUUAGUGGACAGUAUCACAGGGAUGAGCUCCCCUGACUUUGACACGCAAACAUUAGCCGUGUUGAGAGGACGCAUGGUGCGAUAUUUGAUGAGGUCUCGAGAGAUAACUCUUGGCAGAGCAACUAAGGACAACCAGAUUGACGUGGAUCUUUCCCUGGAGGGCCCAGCAUGGAAGAUAUCACGCAAACAAGGAGUCAUCAAACUAAAGAACAAUGGAGACUUUUUCAUAGCCAAUGAGGGCCGACGAGCUAUUUAUAUUGAUGGCCGCCCGGUCCUGCCGGGGAGCAAGUGGAAGCUUAGUCAUAACUCUGUCGUGGAGAUAUCUGGCCUCCGAUUUGUGUUUCUUAUCAAUCAGGAUCUUAUUGCACUGAUCAAAGCAGAAGCUGCCAAAAUGAUCCAGCAAUGACCAUUGUAAGAAGGUUGAAACGGAUGACAACAGACUGAACAAUUUACGUUUCCUGUCUGAAAUGCUCACAAGAUAGAGGAUGACUGCACGUGGGCGACAAUGACGUGACCCCUUGUUAGCAAUCCUUUCUGGAGAAUGUUGUGUAUGAAGAAGUGCUCCUGUAAUAUCUGCCAGCCUUUUGUUAUGUCUAAAAUUCAUUUAAGAGAUCUUAGUAAUAUUAAAUUAAUUUUUAACUGUAAAAAAAAAAAAAAA